GUCCACGCCCUAAACUAUGUCAACUGGUUGUUGGGGAAGGUUCCUUCUCAGUAACGUAGCUAACGCGUGAAGUUCACCGCCUGGGGAGUACGGCCGCAAGGUUGAAAACUCAAAGGAAUUGACGGGGACCCGCACAAGCGGUGGAUGAUGUGGUUUAAUUCGAUGCAACGCGAAAAACCUUCCUACCCUUGACAUGUCAAGAAUCUUGCAGAGAUGUGAGAGUGCUCGAAAGAGAACUUGAACACAGGUGCUGCAUGGCCGUCGU
rnacentral:rRNA from 1 species